UUAGGAAUAUUCGUCAAUGGGGGGAACCCUGAACGAGCAAUGCCGCGUGAGUGAUGACGGUCCUCUGGAUUGUAAAACUCUGUUGUUUGGAAAGAAUUGUAAGAAGAGGAAAUGCUUCUUAUUUGACGGUACCAUUCAAGAAAGCCACGGCUAACUACGUGCCAGCAGCCGCGGUAAUACGUAGGUGGCAAGCGUUAUCCGGAUUUAUUGGGCGUAAAGCGUCCGCAGCCGGUUUAUUAAGUCUAGAAUUAAAGCCUGGAGCUCAACUCCAGUUCGUUUUAGAAACUGAUAGACUCGAGUGUGGUAGAGGCAAACGGAAUUUCUAGUGUAGCGGUAGAAUGCGUAGAUAUUAGAAGGAACACCAGUGGCGAAGGCGGUUUGCUAGGCCAUCACUGACGGUCAUGGACGAAAGCGUGGGGAGCAAAUAGG
rnacentral:rRNA from 1 species